ACCAGCAGAAAAGUUUAUUUCAAAUACUUGUAUCUUACUUCAUGCAACUAGGUAUUACGGUCCUCUAAAAUGUACUGACUUUUUUUCCAAACUGUGGUUAGUAGCAGAGAGGUAAGUAUACUGAAAAGUUUAUGAAAAUUGGGGUUUGCUUGAUCAUUGGUUUAAAUAUUGGUUGCAUUCAAAUUGGAACUAAUCCAUCGAUUAUAAGAAAGCUUGCCACUCUUUUAUCAGCCAAAUAGCUGAUAUAUCUCUAUUUCUUGAAAGUUUCAGUUUUCAUCUGGUUGUUUUGGAUUAUCACCUGUUACAUGCUUCAAGGGUGACCUAAUAUUUGUGUUGUUACAAACUACAACUGGUAGUUAUAAGGUUUAUUUUUUAUGCCUUAAUUGAUCGACAAUUGCCGACAGCGAUAUAUGUAGGAGAAGCUGGUACAGAGAAACCUUCUGUAUAAGGUUUGGAAUGGUGAAUUGAGGUAGAGUUAUAUCCGUUGCUCUCUAUCUUCUCCAAAAGAUACGUCUGAAAUUAAACUGACAUCAUGGUGUCUAUCCAAUUCUUUUCAUAUAUGAAAUUAAACUGGCAUCAUGGUGUCUAUUCAAUGAUUUUCAUAUCCCGAGUAAUUCCUGGUAGGAAAUUGUGGCUUAAUUACAUAUUUCCACUGUGCUAUCACUCUCAGGAUAUUGAAUGUUGUUAAAUGCCAAGUACCCUAGUUUAGUUGAUAUGCAGGAGAUGCGAAUUGGACCAAUUAAUGAUGCCCAGCUGAUGUGGAUUUUAGCGGUAAGAGGCUUGUUUUUGUUUGCCUUGUAUUUUCUGUGAGCAUGAAGAGAGGGUUGGGGUGAAGAUGUUCCCCCUCUGAAUAUAUUAUACAAAUAAUUAGUGCAAACUGCAUAAAUCCCUUGUACAUGUAUUGAUUGAAAAAGACUUAUUUAAGAAUGCCGAUUUUUAUUAAUCUACCUCGGCUGAGAUGGUGGGUCUGUCGGCAAAGUUAAUCUUGAAUCCUCUCAGUUUUAUGCAGUAACAGGUAAAUCCAGGUUCACUAGUUAUCAAGAACUACAAUUCAAAUAGAAAUAUUUGAUUGGAUCUGAGCAUGUGAAUUUAGAGUUUCUCUUCCUGCUUUUUUUUACACGUGCGAAAUGAUGAAUUGAAAGGAAAUUAGGGUCGAAAAGAGUAGAGUGCUAAAGAUUAGCCACCUCCGGAUACUUCUACAUAGCGAACAUAAGCACUUAAUCGUUAUACGUAUCAGUUUUCUGUUUGUUAGUAAGGAUUUAAUCAUUAUUUGUGCUGGUCAUUAUUGGAUGUCACUUUAAGUUUUCAGUAAUCAGAGUUUAUGAUUCAAUAGGAUUUAAUAUUUUAGGAUACUAUGCAAACUAAAGUAUUAUAAUCCCAUCGGACGUGCAUAUUUGCCUGUAGCCUCAAGCAAAUAACUGCCUCCUGAUAAGUGAAAUAGUAUCAUUAAUUAGUUCUUGUAUUUGAACAGCCACAUAUAUUGGUUUUCUGACGCUAUCACACUCUUUUUCUUGGCAGAGUUGCUAUCAUCCUAUUUGAUAAUCUUCAUACAAUACCCUCUCUAUUUAUGACUCUAGUUUGAUAGUAUCCAUAGUUGAUAGUACCUUACUAUUUAUUGUUAAUAUGUUAUGACUGACAAAUUAAUGUUGACAGUUCACAUCUUCUGUUCUCCUAGAGGAGAUUGUUAGAGGACACCGAAAGGGAAGACUCUGCCCACUAUAGAGGUUUGUCGCCGGUUGGGUUGCCAUAAAAUGGAGCAACGUCGAUAUCUUGUUUGAGGAUCUGUUUUCUGGGUUCCUCCGGACUGAUUCACAAAUCACUUUAGUGGUAUUGAGGUACUCCUUCUCAGUCUCUGUUUCUGCAGCUAGAGAACACAUCAUCAUCAUCAUCAUCAUCACUCCUAGUAUUACUAUAAAACCGGUUUUAUUGGUUGGGUUAUUACAUGGUACUAGUGAAGUGGGAUUACAGUCUUGACCACAUGGGGCGUUUGUAAAGAUAGCAUACAAAGUUUGUUGCAAGACACUUUAAAUGAUCAUUGGACAAAGCUUUAUCCUGUUAUCCAUUUAAGAGAGUCUCACAUCAGAGAAGUGGACAGAAGU